UAUUCCUAUUCCUCCAAUUAUUAUUAUUAUUAUUAUUGCAAACUCAGUUGCUUCCCUUAAUUGCUAAUCUCUUCAUGCAGUUGCUUCCUCUCAUAUUUCUCCUUCUAAAAGAGAGAGAGAGAGAGAGAGAGAGUCUAUUCUGUUCACUACUUCAAUUUAUAGAUAUUUCUUCUGUUCUUUCACUCUAUAAUUAUCACAGAUUCAUUUCAGUGGAGGAGACUCCUCAUUUCGGCUUAGCUUGCUUCAACUUAAACAUAUUACCUGUUUUGCCAGGCAAUAUCCCAGUCAUGGCUUCAGGAGCUAUGAUGCAGACUAAUGGUCAUGACCUUCAAAGGGUUUGAGAUUGUGGCAG